GGACUCAUAGCUCAGUUGGUUAGAGCGCUUCGUUUACAUCGAAGAGGUCAGAGGUUCGAGUCCUCUUGAGUCCA
rnacentral:tRNA from 1 species